CAUAGCCACGGUAAAACGUAGGUGGCAAGCGUUGUCCGGAAUUAUUGGGCGUAAAGGGCUCGCAGGCGGUUUCUUAAGUCUGAUGUGAAAGCCCCCGGCUCAACCGGGGAGGGUCAUUGGAAACUGGGAAACUUGAGUGCAGAAGAGGAGAGUGGAAUUCCACGUGUAGCGGUGAAAUGCGUAGAGAUGUGGAGGAACACCAGUGGCGAAGGCGACUCUCUGGUCUGUAACUGACGCUGAGGAGCGAAAGCGUGGGGAGCGAACAGGAUUAGAUACCCCAGUAGUCCCUGUCUCUUAUACA
rnacentral:rRNA from 1 species